GACGAACCGUGCGAACGUUGUUCGGAAUCACUGGGCUUAAAGGGCGCGUAGGCGGCUCGCGAGGUCGGGGGUGAAAUCCCGCAGCUUAACUGCGGAAGGGCCUCCGAUACCGGCGGGCUGGAGGAAGGUAGGGGUGCGCGGAACUUCUGGUGGAGCGGUGAAAUGCGCAGAUAUCAGGAAGAACACCCGUGGCUAAGGCGGCUCUCUAGUACGGUACUGACGCUGAGACGCGAAAGCGUGGGGAGCGAACAGG
rnacentral:rRNA from 1 species